GAUGAAGAAACGUAGCGAAAUGCGAUAAGUAGUGUGAAUUGCAGAAUUCAGUGAAUCAUCGAAUCUUUGAACGCACAUUGCGCCCCUUGGUAUUCCAUGGGGCAUGCCUGUUCGAGCGUCAUUUGUACCUUCAAGCUCUGCUUGGUGUUGGGUGUUUGUCUCGCCUCUGCGUGUAGACUCGCCUCAAAACAAUUGGCAGCCGGCGUAUUGAUUUCGGAGCGCAGUACAUCUCGCGCUUUGCACUCAUAACGACGACGUCCAAAAGUACAUUUUUACACUCUUGACCUCGGAUCAGGUAGGGAUACCCGCUGAACUUAAGCAUAUCAAUAAGCGGAGGA
rnacentral:misc_RNA from 1 species